CCCUACUCCAUUGCCCCCGCUAUCGGGCGC
rnacentral:sRNA from 1 species